rnacentral:rRNA from 1 species
AGAUUGAACGCUGGCGGCAGGCCUAACACAUGCAAGUCGAGCGGUAGAGAGGUGCUUGCACCUCUUGAGAGCGGCGGACGGGUGAGUAAAGCCUAGGAAUCUGCCUGGUAGUGGGGGAUAACGCGUCGGAAACGGACGCUAAUACCGCAUACGUCCUACGGGAGAAAGCAGGGGACCUUCGGGCCUUGCGCUAUCAGAUGAGCCUAGGUCGGAUUAGCUAGUUGGUGAGGUAAUGGCUCACCGAAGGCGACGAUCCGUAACUGGUCUGGAGAGGAUGAUCAGUCACAUGGAACUGAGACACGGUCCAGACUCCGUAGGGAGCAGCAGGUGGGAAUAGUGGACAAGUGGGACAAGCCUGACUCCGAGCCAUCGACCGUCGUGUACGGUAGAA